rnacentral:rRNA from 1 species
UACGUAGGGGGCUAGCGUUGUCCGGAAUCAUUGGGCGUAAAGAGCGUGUAGGCUGCUCGGUAAGUCCGCUGUAAAAGUCAAAGGCUCAACCUUUGAAUGUCAGUGGAUACUGCCGGGCUAGAGUCCGGAAGAGGCGAGUGGAACUCCUGGUGUAGCGGUGGAAUGCGCAGAUAUCAGGAGGAACACCGGUGGCGAAGGCGGGUCUCUGGACAGUUCCUGACGCUGAGGCACGAAAGCUAGGGGAGCGAACGGG